rnacentral:snRNA from 1 species
AUACCUUUCUUGAUAUUUUGGCUAAAAUAAAGUGUAAUAUUUGUUCUUGUCAGUUUAAUAUCUGAUGUAUGGACCACAUGUUCACUUUGAUAUUAGAUUUAUUUUUAAGGGUAUCAAAUAUGAUUGUGUGUCAUCACAAACACGAGCAUUGUACUAUCU